UGAAUGGCAACAUAGUGCUUAGAAAGUGGCUAAGAUUUAGAGAUCACAAGCAGAACUGGGAUGUGGUGAAAGAUUAUGCUAUACAAGAAGGUUUUGAGCUUCAGAAAGUGAAGCAUGCUUCUAGCAUAAUUACUACACGUUGUAGAGCAAUGCACAUGGCGAAUCCAUGCUUCUAAGUCACCAGAUGGUACUGAGUUUCUCAUAAAAACAUACAAUCUUGAAUAUAAUUUCCAGUGUGUUGUGAAGAAUAGGAUAGUUACAGCGAGUUGGAUUGCCAAAAAUCUCUUCGUAAUAGCUUUGCUAGAAAUCCUACAAUGAGUGUCGACAAAAUGAGAACUGAGUUGAGAGACCAUUUUGGAGUUGAGGCUACAAACAGGCGACUAUGGGCAGCUAGACAGAAAGCUAGAGGGGCUUCAGGAGGGGCUUAUUCAUAUGCCAACUUAAGGCGUUAUGGUGCUAUGAUCCUUAAAUUCAAUCCGGGGAGUGCUGCUAUUGUCCAGACAAACUUAGAGCCAAUUGAAGAGCAUUUGGAGGGUGACACUAAUGAACCAUUGAUUGGUGUGGAAUCAGUAAUGAAGCUUCAAUUCAAGAGAAUCUUUGUUUGCUACGAAGGUGUGAAAUCGGGUUUCAAAGCAGGUUUCGACCUUUUUUUGGGUUAGAUGGUUGUCAUCUGAGAGGGUCAUACAAGAGCAUUUUAUUAGCAGCAAUGGGGGUUGAUGCAAAUCUUCAUUUCUAUCCCAUUGCAUAUGCUAUUGUAGAAGCAGAGAAUACUAGUAGUUGGAAAUGGUUCUUGGAGAUGUUACUGGAAGAAAUUGAAAGAAAUUGGGGAUUCUGCCAAUGGCAAGCCAUGGUGUGUUAUGAGUGACAGACAGAAGGGUUUAAUUGAUGCCGUGGCUAACAUCCCAGAUGUAUCACAACGUUUUUUGUUGUUUUCAUUUGGAGAACAACAUGGUGAAGAAAUUUGGGGCAUCAGAACUUAAACAACUGUUUUAGGCAGCGACACAGACAUCAAGCUUUGAUAAUUUCAAGCGUAUAAAGACAUUCAACAAGGAAGCACAUGAGUGGCUACCAAUAUUGACUUCAACCAUUGGUGUAUGAGCAAGUUUAACACAAAUGUUAAGGCGGAGCAUCUUACAAAAAACUUUGUAAAAUCUUUCAAUGGUUGGAUAGAUGGCCACCAAUACAAGCCUCCUAUUGAAUUACUUGAGGGUAUAAGAAUGCAGCAUACCUGAAUGAUGUAUGUUAGGAAAAAGAUAGCAGACAAAUGGUCUCACAAGCUAACCCCAAAGGUGAAAUUGAGGGCCAAUGAAAUCCAAAAAAAAAGCACGUUUCGCAACUGUUACAAAUGUUAUAAAUUAAGAAUUCCAAGUUGUUUAUUCUGCAAAAAGGUGUAUUUUUCGAUUAAAUGAAGGAUAUUGCAUAUGUGGCCUAUCACAGAUAAGAGGAAUCCCUUGUAUUCAUGCAGCUGCUUGCAUAAAUACUAUAAGGGCGGACAUUACCAAUUAUUGCUCGCCAUAUGUCACCACUGAAAUGUUGAGGAAGAGUUUUGAGUAUGCUAUUCAUCUGGUAAAUGUGGCCUCAAUUUGACGAUGAGGAAUUACUACCACCUAUUAUAAAAAAAACUCCCAAGCAGACCCAAAAAAUAUCAUAGAAUAAGGGUUGCAGGAGAGAAGCGACAUUUACCCACUGUUCUUGGAAAACAACCAGUUAGAAAGGGAGUUUCUAGCACUAAGAAGUGCAAGAACUGUCUUGAAUUUGGCCAUAACAAAAGGUCAUGCAAGAAACCACCAGCUCCUACCCCAUCUCAAUCACAACCUGAAAAUGCACCAGCAGCAUGUCGAGGAAAAAGAAAGGCAGCAGGUCGGGGCAGAGGUCAAGCCAAAAAAUAAAAAAGAGGCACAUCACAUGAGGCUUCUGUUCCAAGCUUGGAGCCAUCUGCUAAAGAAAUCCAGACAAAUGCACCACCAAUGGAUUUGUUCUAAGCCCAAGAGACUCAGUAGACCCACCAAGUAUAACAACAACAUUUGGCAAACUUGAUUUUAAAGAAAGAACCUAAUUUUGAAGAGCCUAUGUUUUUUGUUUUUUGUUUUUUAUAAGGAUGUUACCUAUAACUUUUUUGCAAGCUGCUUUUGUAAAACCUAAACCAACUGUUGUUGGAUUUCUUUUGUAACGCACUUACACAGUGACUACUUGUGUGCUAAUUAUUUUUGUAAAGCCUGAAACAAUUGUUGUUGGAUUCCUUUUGUAAAUCACUUAUACGGUGACUACUUGUUUGCUAAUUAUUACAAACUUCCAGCUGUGACUUUUUAAUGAGAAGCUAAUGAAACUCAUUUUGCCAAAA